rnacentral:tRNA from 1 species
GAGGGUCUAGCUCAGUGGUAGAGCACAUGCUUAGCAUGCACAAGGUCCUGGAUUCAAUCUCCAGUCCUCC